UGGUGGAGUGAUUUGUCUGGUUAAUUCCGAUAACGAACGAGACCUUAACCUGCUAACUAGAUAUGCUCAUUAUAUGGGUACAAUCUUCUUAGAGGGACUAUGUCAUAAAAAAUACAUGGAAGUUUGAGGCAAUAACA
rnacentral:rRNA from 1 species